CUCCUUCAAAUAAAUAAUAGUAAAGAUUGUUCGUGGUAUAUUAUCAAUCGUAUGAAUUUAAUACAGUUUUAGAAGUUGAAGACAUGGGUUUUAUGGAUGGGAUGAGUUCUGCUAAACCCAGUUUGAAGUUGCACUUGUUGCGGCUUGAAAUGCAGCCGUUGUAUCAAGUCGUGAAAAUAUGUGAUUUGGCGUUGUAAACAGAGCGAGGACAAUGUCUUAA
rnacentral:lncRNA from 1 species